rnacentral:lncRNA from 1 species
AGAAAUCAGAAAAAUCAAGGCGGCUGAACAUUUCUAGUAAAAAAACUGUUCCAUCAGUCUACUUUGGUGAUUUCCUGAAGUUUCUCUAAUCCCGAAGCAUUUUCUGGUUCAUUUGAGGUUUAGAAAAUGAAUUGAAUCUGGUUUUAAGGUCUGGUUCUGAAAUUUCUAGGUUACAUUCAAUUGAAACUGUUUUGGUAGACUGUUUUGAGCAUUGUUUUUUGGGUUUAAAACAUGUUCACUGGGUUAUUUCCUGCUGUUAAUAUCUGCUUAUUGCUGCUGCUAAUCCUUAACUCAUAUUUCUCUCAAUCUCCAGAUAUUCACUUCAACUCCUAAUUUAUGAGAAUGGAUGAACAUGAAGUUGGCUUAUUCAAGUUGAUAUUUGUAAUUGAGCAGUGAUUUAAACAAUGAAUCUGUACCUUCAAAGCUAGUUAACCUGUGUAUUUGAUUUGGUUUUCAAUAUGUAUAAAUAGUGUGUUUUCAUUUUCAUUUUUCAAUUUCUCAUGAUGCUUUAAAGAUUUGGGUAGUAUGAUAGUAUAGCUAUUUUGUAUUGAAAGGGACAUGGACCUUAUUUGGACAUUAGAUCUUUUGUUUUCUGCAUCUAUGAGUACUAAGGGGUCAAGGUGAUUCUCAUGAAUAUUAUUUUGUGGUCCGCUUGUUAAUUCUAUCGUGGAAUAUAGUUGUCAA